CCUACGUGAGGCAGCAGUGGGGAAUAUUGGUCAAUGGGCGAGAGCCUGAACCAGCCAAGUCGCGUGAGGGAGUACUGCCAUAUGGGUUGUAAACCUCUUUUGUCGGGGAGCAACAGCCGGACGUGUCCGGCUUUGAGAGUACCCGAAGAAAAAGCAUCGGCUAACUCCGUGCAAGCAGCCGCGGGAAUUCGGAGGAGGCGAGCGUUAUCCGGAUUUAUUGGGUUGAAAGGGUGCGCAGGCGGAGUUUUAAGUCAGCGGUCAAAUCGUGGGGCUCAACCCCAUGCAGCCGUUGACACUGGGGAUCUAGAGUGUGCGAGAGGGAUGCGGAAUGCGUGGUGUAGCGGUGAAAUGCAUAGAUAUCACGCAGAACCCCGAUUGCGAAGGCAGCAUACCGGUGCACAACUGACGCUCAGGCACGAAAGCGUGGGUAUCGAACAGGAUUAGAUACCCGUGUAGUC
rnacentral:rRNA from 1 species